rnacentral:lncRNA from 1 species
AAAAUUGCAGCUCGCAACAUGCGUAUUCCACCGCCAUUCACCACAGCUCCGGAAAAAAUUUCUUGAUUUUGCCUGUGUAAAAUGGAGGGGGGCGGAGAACGCGUGGGGUAGGAAACCGGAGGAAAUGGGAACGGGAGAGGGCGCUUUUGUAGUGUAGUGAGAGAGGAGAGGAAGAAAGGAAGAUGACGUGCGAACAACCUUGGAGAAGAGAAGAGAAGAGAAUGAGGAUGUGAUUGUGCUUCGAC